rnacentral:rRNA from 1 species
UACAGAGGUCUCAAGCGUUGUUCGGAUUCAUUGGGCGUAAAGGGUGCGUAGGCGGCGCGGUAAGUCGGGUGUGAAAUCUCGGAGCUUAACUCCGAAACUGCAUUCGAUACUGCCGUGCUUGAGGACUGGAGAGGAGACUGGAAUUUACGGUGUAGCGGUGAAAUGCGUAGAUAUCGUAAGGAAGACCAGUGGCGAAGGCGGGUCUCUGGACAGUUCCUGACGCUGAGGCACGAAGGUCA